UCCCUGGUGGUCCAGUGGUUAAGACUCUGCACUUCUACUGCAGGGGGCUCAGGUUUGAUCCCGGUUCGGAGAG
rnacentral:tRNA from 1 species